rnacentral:rRNA from 1 species
UACGUAGGGGGCUAGCGUUGUCCGGAAUCAUUGGGCGUAAAGCGCGUGUAGGCGGUCCGGUAAGUCCGCUGUGAAAGUCGGGGGCUCAACCCUCGGAUGCCGGUGGAUACUGUCGGGCUUGAGUACGGAAGAGGCGAGUGGAAUUCCUGGUGUAGCGGUGAAAUGCGCAGAUAGUCAGGAGGAACACCAAUUGCGAAAGGCAGCUCGCUGGGACGUUACUGACGCCUGAGACGCGAAAGCGUGGGGAGCAAACAGGAUUAGAUACCC